CGCCCGCCGGCGAGCGCCCCCGCGACCCCACGCCGCAGCUGCGCCCCGCGCAGCUCGCCACCUGCGCGCUCAUACUGCAGGAGAUCAACCGUAAAAUGCAGUGCGUCACGUGGCAGCCUCAGCCUUAGUUCCUCUCGCGACCACAACGCCAACAACGAUAACAACGUAUCACUUACUUGGGCUAUAACCUAUAGACGCAAAAAAAUCGGUCAACAAAAAAAAAACUGAGAAAUAUGCCCGAAAGCAUAAUUAGAGUAAUAUAAGUGAAGAAAUAGUGGUAACUCCAUACAUCAAUUUUCUUACCAACACGCGCGUUAUUUCGUAGUCGACAUCUAGCGUCAUCUAGCGGAAUUUAUCAGUACUGCUAGUUGACAAUAGAUGUCGCGGCGAACGAAAACUAAUGCUCAACAAUUUUCAGCUUUUUUUUUUUAUUAUGAAUGGGCUUUCUCAUGGCCACAGACUAGCCGAGGCGUAGACGUGGCCUACGAUGGAGCGAGCUCGCCCAGAAGGUACCGGAAUAACUGAAAUUCUAUUUUCAACCUCGUCUACUUAUAAUAUUAGUUGUAUUUUGUUUUUGUAGUAUAUUUUUCGUCAGUAGCUAACACUUGUGACAUCUGGUGACAAGUAGGGGUACUGAUAGUUCCACUACUUGAUGUAAGCCGACUACGAAAUAACGCUCCUUUUGGUAAGAAAACUAAUGUAUGGAGUUACCGGUCUUUCCUUACUUAUAUUACUCUAUGCCGAAAGCGAACUUGGUAAUUAGGUAGGCCUUCUGACUUUGGAAAAGAAGGUGCGUGUGUAGCUUUUGCUUCUGACUGUUCAUGUAAAUAUAGUUAUUGUAAAUGAUUAUUUUGUAAUUGUAUACUUUCAAUGUCAUUAAGUGUAAUGGCCAAUGAUUACAGAUGUAUUCUGCAAAACGUAAUUCAAGACCAAAAAAAGUAAGCAAUGUUGCCACUUUUUACUAGCGCAUCAUGUAUUUAUGUAAAAAUAAGUACUUAAAUAAAAGUACUUUUUUUAAAUCAAAGGAGUAAAAUUACUGAUAAAUAAAUUUACUUAGCGUGAUUAUUAAUCAAAAUGAAUUUACUAUUUUACAAACAAAUUAUUGCAAUGGCAACAAUGUCUUACUUUUUUGGUCUUGAAUUACGUUUUGCAGUAUAGUGCAUAAUUAUUUUCCUUCGUAUUUUCACGGAAACGUACGAACGUGUCUUGCUAAUUCAGUCAGUCUCGAUACAAAAAGUACUGAGGUUGACUGAAGUAGCAUGACAAAUACGAACGUUUCCGAUAAAAUACGAUGGAAAACUGCACUACAUCUGUACCUAUAGUUCGUUUUUUUUAGCAUUAGAAAGAACUUGCAAAAAGGUAAGCGAUCUUGACAUGUCUUUUAAUUGAAAAACGCUUUUUUAAAAUCAAUAACUAUUAUGAAAGCAGAAGAAUAUAAAUGAUCGUAUUAGAUUCAUAAUUGUAACAUAUUUGCCGUAACUUAUUUUUAAAAUGUGUUUUUCAAUUAAAAGACACAUCAAGAUUGUUUACCUUUAGGCCUAGCACAUGAUUGGCGCGACAGUAUCUCGCGGCGAGAUAGGCUACCCGUCCCUCUUUAAUUAUCAUAGUUAGAAAAAGACGGGUAGUCUAUCUCGCCGCGAGAUGCUGUCGCGCCAAUCAUGUGCUAGGCCU